AUUACGAAGGAAAACGUUGUUGGGAUUCAUGAUUUCUCUAAAUUGUUGCUUGAUUUUACUUCUCAACAAGCAAAUUAACUAAUUACCCAUUUACAAUUUUAGACCUGAUUUUUCAAGUUCAGCUAAUUAUUCUUCUUCAAGCGAAAUUAACUUUAAUUGAUUGGUUUAACCUAUUAUAUCUCUAUGUCAAUUAAAACCAAACAAUUGCAUUAAAUUUUUGUGAAAAUAGCUCAAUGGAUCACUUAGGGUAAGGGGUAUAUCUCUGUUCCCGACAAGAAUCUAGGGUUUCUACUGUUUGCUCUAAUAUGUAUAAUCUUUUCUCGAACUAGGUAUAAAUCACUAAGCAUAAUCAUACAUUGACCAUGUAAAUGAAACUGCAACAACAACAGCAACAACAACAACAACAACAAUAAUAAUAAUUGUUGACCCCGCGAAUUGGAUUUCCAUGUGGCCAACCGAGAGCCACUCCAUGUGUUCCUCCCUGUUCACAACAACACACGGUCAGGAGCACAUGGUCGGAACCAGUUGGGGUAGCAGCGAC
rnacentral:lncRNA from 1 species